UCCCUCACUAAACCCUAAUAACGGGCUAGUGCCUCCGCUGGCAUUUGUGCCUCCGUUGGCACCUUUCACAAACAUGCCACAGAAAUUCUAGCAGAGCACUUUUUCUGACAAAACAGAAUUUAGUUGCUAUGUCCUGUUUUACAGUACAUGUUUUUGUUCUGAUUUUCGUUCCUGUACACCAUUUUUAGUCAAAUCUGACGCAAUUUUGUUCUUUCUUCUGCAUCAUUUUUGUUCCUCUCAGAUCUUAUUCAUCCUGCAACAUCCAGAGUAAUUUACACUCUGGACAGACCUUUCUCUUUGUUGAAGAGAUUGUUCUUUUGUAGUGAUGAAUGAAUGGUUGAAAUUUGAGAUCUUAUUUUUCCACAAUCACCUCUGACGGAGGCUAUACCAGCAGUCAAAUACUUCUUCCCUGAUUGAUGGUUCAAAUCGGUUCUACACUGUGAAUCGCCACAGCUGUUGUAGAUCAGAAAUCUGAACCGGUUUUCUAAAACACCAUUUAGCUCCUGUAUGUAGUGCUUGUGAUAUUGAAGAAAUUUCAUCAUCAUAAGCAGUCAUAAUGAAAGAUGGAAUAUUAGAGCUUUUCAUUUUCUCUAGGAGCUCAUAUAUUUCCAUGUCUGUCAACUGAGCCUCCACAAGCACAAGGUUGAUUUCAUUCUUUUUCUCCCCGAUAAUGGAUAAAGCCUCGGAAGCUAGUGUAGCAGUUGCAAUGAGUAAUAAAAGAAUAUCUGGAUGGAGAUUUGAAAUGGGAUGUUGAUUUGAUACUUGAAAGAUGAAGUAGACAAUCUCUAAAGAGCGGCCGCAAUCAAUUUAAUCCAAUGCUGCUAGGUGUUGGCUAGCAUAUUGUCUGAUCUAUUAGAUUGGCUAAAAGUUCUCUUAAGCCUGGUCUUUCAUUACUAGUUGUGAAUGCUACACUAGUUUCCGAGGCAUUAUCCAUUAUUGGGGAGAAGAAGAAUGAGAUUAACCUUGUGUGUGUGGAGGCUGAGUUGCCAUACAUGGAGAUAUACGAGCUCGUAGAGAAAAUGAAAAGCUCUAAUAUUACAUCUUUCGUUAUGACUGCUUAUCAUGAUGACAUUCCUUCCAUAUCACAAGCGCUACGUACAGGAGCUAAAUGAUGAUUUAGAUAACCGGUUCAAAAUUCUGAUCUACAGCAGUUGUGGCGAUUCACAGUGUGGAAGCGAUUUGAACCAACAUUCAAUGAAGAAGUAUAUGACAAUUGGUGGCCUAUGUUAGAGGUGAUUGAGGAAAGCAAGGGUCUCAAAUGCCAACCAUCCAUGUAUUCAAAAGAACAAUCUCUCCAAAGUGUGUCAAUGGUCUAGAAAGCCAACCAUCCUUGUGACCAAACAAAUUGUUGAUUUGCUGUUGUUAGUGUCCUAUUAGAAAGUGUGUUAUGGAGUUGUUCCAGUUAUGUAACUUUUGUUCCAGUUAUGAACUAUCAUAGUUAAUAUUAUGCUCAUAAUAACAAAGUUUUGAAAUAAAACAUCAAUGGUUGAAUUCUCUAUAA